rnacentral:rRNA from 1 species
ACACGACUACAUUAGAUACCCGCGUAGUCCAGGGUGUAAACGCUGCGGGCUUGGUGUUGGGGGUCUUUGGGGGCAUUCAGUGCCGGAGAGAAGUUGUUAAGUCUGCUACUUGGGGAGUACGUCCGCAAGGAUGAAACUUAAAGGAAUUGGCGGGGGAGCACCGCAACGGGAGGAGCGUGCGGUUUAAUUGGAUUCAACACCGUAAAACUCACCAGGGAAGACUGUUACAUGAAGGCCGAGAUGAAGACUCUGCUAGAUUUUCAG